rnacentral:rRNA from 1 species
UACGUAGGGUGCGAGCGUUGUCCGGAAUUAUUGGGCAUAAAGAGCUCGUAGGCGGUUUGUCGCGUCGACUGUGAAAACCCGAGGCUUAACCUCGGGCCUGCAGUCGAUACGGGCAGACUAGAGUUCGGUAGGGGAGACUGGAAUUCCUGGUGUAGCGGUGAAAUGCGCAGAUAUCAGGAGGAACACCGGUGGCGAAGGCGGGUCUCUGGGCCGAUACUGACGCUGAGGAGCGAAAGCGUGGGGAGCGAACAGG